rnacentral:rRNA from 1 species
UACGGAGGGUGCAAGCGUUAUCCGGAUUCACUGGGUUUAAAGGGUGCGUAGGUGGAUCGGUAAGUCCGUGGUGAAAUCCCCGAGCUUAACUCGGGAACUGCCGUGGAUACUAUCGAUCUUGAAUACUGUGGAGGUAAGCGGAAUAUGUCAUGUAGCGGUGAAAUGCUUAGAUAUGACAUAGAACACCAAUUGCGAAGGCAGCUCGCUACACGAAUAUUGACUCUGAGGCACGAAAGCGUGGGGAUCAAACAGG